rnacentral:rRNA from 1 species
CAAUAGCGUAUAUUUAAGUUGUUGCAGUUAAAAAGCUCGUAGUUGGAUUUCGGGUGGGACGCAGCGGUCUCGCAUUGCGUUUGUACUGCUGCAGCCCUCCUUCUUGCCGGGGGCGGCCUCUCGGACUUCACUGUCUGGGGGUCAGAAUCGGCGAUGUUACUUUGAGUAAAUUAGAGUGUUCAAAGCAAGCUUACGCUCUGAAUAUAAUAGCAUGGGAUAACACGACAGGACUCUGGCCUAUCGUGUUGGUCUAUAGGACCAGAGUAAUGAUUAAGAGGGACAGUCGGGGGCAUUCGUAUCCCGUUGUCAGAGGUGAAAUUCUUGGAUUUACGGAAGACGAACAUCUGCGAAANCANNNGCCAAGGAUGUUUUCAUNGG